GACGGGGGAUGCAAGUGUUAUCCGGAAUAAUUGGGCGUAAAGCGUCUGUAGGUGGUUUACCAAGUCUGUUGUUAAAACUCAAGGCUUAACCUUGAUCAGGCAACAGAAACUAGUAGGCUUGAGUACGGUAGGGGCAGAGGGAAUUCUCGGUGUAGUGGUGAAAUGCGUAGAUAUCGAGAAGAACACCAACAGCGAAAGCACUCUGCUGGGCCGAAACUGACAUUGAGAGACGAAAGCUAGGGGAGCGAAAGGG
rnacentral:rRNA from 1 species